rnacentral:rRNA from 1 species
UCAUUAUCGAAAUUACUGGCGAGGGUUGUAGCUGGCCUUUCGGGGCACGUGCACGCCUGAGCCUUUAAUCCACAUACACCUGUGAACCCAAUGUAAGGGCCCGUAAAAAAGGCCCCUACGUCUCAUCAUCAACCCCAUUGCAUGUCUCAUAGAAUGUAAAUCAAUAUCCUCGCCUAAAAAGCGUUGAUAAAACAUAUACAACUUUCAACAACGGAUCUCUUGGCUCUCGCAUCGAUGAAGAACGCAGCGAAAUGCGAUAAGUAAUGUGAAUUGCAGAUUUUCAGUGAAUCAUCGAAUCUUUGAACGCACCUUGCGCUCCUUGGUAUUCCGAGGAGCAUGCCUGUUUGAGUGUCAUUAAAUCAUCAACCCCGAUUGGUUUGUUUUCAAAUCUCCGGGGCUUGGACUUGGAGCGUGCUGGCGAAGGUCGGCUCCUCUGAAAUGCAUCAGCGGAAUUCAAUCUUUGGUUUCCGGAUGUCGGUGUGAUAAUCACGUUGCGCCGUCGUCUGACCUCAAAGUCCGCUCAUAAUGGUCUUCGGACGAUUCAUCGAAUUUGACCUC